CCAGCCCCAGCUGGACAAAAAGCCUUGCAAAAGGGAAGAAAUUAAAAAGCAGGGGGAGGGAAGGGUGAAGGCCCCAGGGACGCGUUCUGCAUGGAGGAUGGCAAGGGGGAGGUUUGGUUGAAUCAAGAACCCUUGAUCGGCCCCUUGGGUUUCCAGCCCCCAAGAGCGCUCACACAGCCCACGUGUUAUGUCCCAGCUCCGAGCAAAACAGCGUGCCAGUGUGGAUGCCCCGAACUCAGACGCGGCCCCCUGGACACAGAUGGGACUUUCUGUCCAGAAACAACCCAGCCCCCACAACAGCCUGGACGUUACACUGAGUUCAUUUCGUUCCAAUCAAAGAGCAAAAUAUAUACCGUGAAGGGCCCACCUUUCCUUUUCUCCUUGUUCUAUAGGGCGAUUAGCAUGGAGAAGCCAUCACACUGUAGUGGAGGGGAGAGGGUGGCUUAAAAAUAAAUGGGCUCUGGGAGGGAAGGAGUAACUUGCAAUGCCACUCUUGGCACUCUUGGCAUUGUGCAGGAAACCCAACCCUCAGCUCUCACCCACACAGAACCCCAUCAUCUGCUGAGCUUCUGCCACUGCUGAAUGUACCCCCGGGAAGAGCUCCGAGCCUCUGCCCUGCUGAAUGCACUCCUAGGAGAGGCUCCAGAGAGGCCCCCAGCAUGGCUACCCCUGUAGGAAAGCAGGCCGUGAUGUUUCUAAACACAGGGGUGGCUUACCACAGUAAACAUGCCAGUGCUCUGAGGUGUGGAGACUGCGGGAAGCGAUUCAAUAUUUUCAUGGAGGCUCAUUAUAUUUGCUCCCAGACCAGAAAAGCCGGAGCCUAUUACUGCUCUCUUGGUAGGAUUUUUUUUUAAUCCUUGUAUAUUACAAGAACAUGAAUUAAGCUCUGAUGAACGCGAUAUUAAUUAAUUACAUGAAGAUCCACGUGGGAGACAGGAGGGGGUGGAGGGAGAGGUUGUGCUAUGCAAAUGACCGGGAGGAGAGAUGCUGCCGGAAUUGUGCUUCUCAUUGUUUCUGGCUCCAGAACGUGGAGGCGUGCGCAGUGGGCUCAGCCAGGGAGGUUUACCUGCAGGCAGCAGAUGUGGCUUCUGCAAGAUUUAAAGCCUCUGGCACCAUU
rnacentral:lncRNA from 10 species